rnacentral:rRNA from 1 species
UACGUAGGGUGCAAGCGUUGUCCGGAAUUAUUGGGCGUAAAGAGCUCGUAGGCGGUUUGUCGCGUCUGCUGUGAAAACUGGAGGCUCAACCUCCAGCCUGCAGUGGGUACGGGCAGACUAGAGUGCGGUAGGGGAGAUUGGAAUUCCUGGUGUAGCGGUGGAAUGCGCAGAUAUCAGGAGGAACACCGGUGGCGAAGGCGGGUCUCUGGGCCGUAACUGACGCUGAGGAGCGAAAGCGUGAGGAGCGAACAGG